GUUCUGCUUUCUUUAGCGAGUUCUCGAAUUUUGUUUAGACCAUCUGGUGAUCAGUCCGGUGUGAAUUUCAGGAGACCAUAUGUUUCAAGGAGGCAUGUCGGGGUAUGUAAUGCCCUAGUGGAACCCUACCGCCUUCCCUUAUGUCAAACCGUACAUGUAUACGUACGGAAGUUACCUGGGAUGGUGCCUUUUAAUUCCACAAUGGUCCCAAUUACGCCUUACGGAGUUCCACCUUAUGUUCCGUGUAUUUAUGGCAACUUACAUGUUCCUAGGUGACCUUUGUGACAACCGUCAAAAAUCCAGGGAACUAAGUGGAUCUGGCAGGUGUUGCAUGUUUUCAAGCUGCGUCAUGAAUAAAAGAUGUCAUCCAAGGUCGUUAGGGUUUAGAGGAUGUAUCUUAAUCCUGGACGAGAUACAUGGUUCUAAACUUGGUUUUAAUUAAGGUCCUUUGUCGAGUCUUCGUGAACUCAUUAAAACAUGUUGUGGUGUGUAACUUGAAUUUUGUGUCAACGUUUCAGACAAGUAUGUUGUGGUAUUUUCAAACUUAAUUAAUGGAUGAACAUCUUAUGGUUUU